rnacentral:rRNA from 1 species
AUUGAACGCUGGCGGCAUGCUUUACACAUGCAAGUCGAACGGCAGCACGGACUUCGGUCUGGUGGCGAGUGGCGAACGGGUGAGUAAUACAUCGGAACGUACCCAGUAAUGGGGGAUAACUAUCCGAAAGGAUAGCUAAUACCGCAUACGCCCUACGGGGGAAAGAGGGGGAUCGCAAGACCUCUUGUUAUUGGAGCGGCCGAUGGCUGAUUAGCUAGUUGGUGAGGAAAAGGCUCACCAAGGCGACGAUCAGUAGCGGGUCUUAGAGGACGAUCCGCCACACUGGAACUGAGACACGGUCCAGACUCCUACGGGAGGCAGCAGUGGGGAAUCUUGGACAAUGGGCGCAAGCCUGAUCCAGCAAUGCCGCGUGCGUGAAGAAGGCCUUCGGGUUGUAAAGCGCUUUUGUCAGGGAGCAAAUCCUUGUGGCUAAUACCCACCGGGGAUGAGAGUACCUGAAGAAUAAGGACCGGCUAACUACGUGCCAGCAGCCGCAGUAA